rnacentral:rRNA from 1 species
UACGGAGGGUGCAAGCGUUAUCCGGAUUUACUGGGUUUAAAGGGUGCGUAGGUGGGUCUGUAAGUCAGUGGUGAAAUCUCCGAGCUUAACUCGGAAACUGCCAUUGAUACUAUAGAUCUUGAAUUAUCUGGAGGUAAGCGGAAUAUGUCAUGUAGCGGUGAAAUGCUUAGAUAUGACAUAGAACACCAAUUGCGAAGGCAGCUUACUACACAAUCAUUGACGCUGAGGCACGAAAGCGUGGGGAUCAAACAGG